rnacentral:lncRNA from 1 species
GUCUUAGUCCAGACAGAGGAAGAGAAGAAGGAUGUUGAACAUGGACAGAGUAGUAGGCAAGGCCCAGUUCUGUAACAUUGUAGUAACAGAGGAACAUGGGUAGGAAGGCCCCAAUCACUCUCUCUCUCAUUCUCACACACUCAUAGAAGGUUCAGUCUCACCCACACGUGGAACACAAAGAAGAAUGAAGAUUGAGAGAGAAUUGACAUUGAUUAAAGAAAAUAAUAAUAAGAAGAAGAAAUGAAUUGGGAAUUUAUGAAUAUAAUAAUGAAAGGUUAAAUAUGUUAAAUGUUGGAAGCAUUGGGAAACAUAUAGUGGGAGAUAUUAAAAGGUGAUUCAAGUAAUGCAGUAAAAUGGUUCAGAAUGUUUUAAUGUUGGUUGCUUUAAGGUACGAUGCUUGUAGACUGUGUUGGUAGGUUUAAAGGACAAGGCCUUAUGGUCUGUAGGAGGUUGGUAAUGACAUGUUAUAAUGAUGAAAUGGUAUAAUGUUGAAGGGUUUUAAAAAUGUUGAAUGUUUAGGAAGUAAUGGGAAGAAUAGGUUCGAGUGGGAUUAUAAUUGAGAAGGGAAUGUUAAUGUUUAAAAAUGAAUGUUUAGAAAUAAAUGUUUUAAAAGUUAAUGAUAAUGGAGUGUACUGAGGGUGCUAUCUUGCUUUGGGAAUCCCCCGGUCAGAGCAGCCAGGAGGAGGCAUCCUGUCUAGACGUCCUGCCUAUGUGAGGAAAGAUGGGGGUUAGUGGGUGCUGAAAGAGCACCUUUUGAGUGUUAGCCACAAUGAGUUAACAGAAAGGAAGAUGGAGGGUAUAAAGGAGGCAUCAUUCUGGAGAAGGGUACGACUCUCUAUUAGCUUCAACAACCUGUGGACUGAUGGAAGAAGAUUUCUGCUGUAGCUUUUUAGCUUGAAAUGUAUUUUUAUAUAUAUUAAACUCAUAUUUAGAUUUAUAUUAUACUCAUAUUUAGAUUUGUAUUAUACUCAUAUUUAGAUUUAUAUUAUACUCAUAUUUAGAUUUAUAGCUUGAAAUACAUUCCGUUUUUUAUUAUUCUCAUAUUUAGAUUUGUAUUAUUCUCAGUUAAAGUAAAAUUCUAGGAGGGAUCCUUAAGGUUUCCUCAAUGAUAGAAGUGUGUUAAAGUAGCUGGUAGAGUUUUUAGACGCCAACUGAGGGACUGAUCAUCCUGAGGGGGGAGAUAAAAAACAGUAUAUAAAGUUGUAGAAGGUAAGAACCUGUUUUUCUAUGUAUUAAUUACUGUGCUUCUCAUAAAGUUGUAAAAAUACAAAACAUAUUGUAUUGGCAAUAAGGGUAUAGUUAAGGGCGUUGAAGGUGUCUAUCAAUUUAAUUUACUGUUGAUGUUGCUUAUCAUUGAUUGGCGAUGUUAAUUUGUGAUUGACUGAUUGAUCUGGAAUAUUUUAUCCAUGUUUCUGGAAUGUUGAAUAAAGUUGCUUUAUUGUUCUGAAACCCUGUGUCAUCAAAGAGUCAUACAAGUUCAUGUCGUUUUACUUUCAGUUUCUGAAAUAGACUUAAAUAAUUGAGGAUUUUUUGCAUCUGGUUAGUUAGUCUAGAGGAGACCUGAGUAGCUGGUAUAAAUAAAAUACAAUUUGA